rnacentral:lncRNA from 1 species
UACAUGUUAUUCUCUGCCUCUUGCAGAGUAGAUGAAAGGGUUUCCUAGUCAGGAAUUCCCCAGCACAGUAUUUGUCUCAGGAGUGAACAAUAUCACAAACUUAAGGAAAAACUAAGAGCCAGGCUGCUGAAGCAUGUUUGAGGCAGAAUCAUUCAGAUGUUGAAUGAAGAAGAUUUAUCUUACUCUAGGCAACUAAAGGGUCCCUAACUGAAGAAUACAGUAAUUUAAAAAGUCUCAUUGGGGCUGGCAUACCAUCAUGUCAGAUGUCAGGAAAAGCAGGAAGAAGGCUUCUCUAAGAAGAGAUAAGUCAGGAAGCCAUGGAUAUCCUGAUUGAGGGGGCACAGUUCUGCAGCAUCUGGAAGGAGCAGAAGUGGUGACAGCCAGAAGCUUUUUGGAACAGUUGGGGGAAGCUGGGAAAGCCCAGUCUCUGUGUGAAAGCAGCAAAGAACGGUAUCCUCUGGAGGAAAAAAAGAGGGAAAAUGAGUAUUUAGGGUAAGUGCCUGCAGCUGCAGGCACUGUUGCUCUGUCUGUUGUGUUGCUGCAUGUGAGGAAGCAGCUGGGAUCAUAGUGGGGGUCACCCAGCACAGCCAGCUGGGUCCCCUGCCAGUGCCACCACCUGUUCCUUUAGCUGUGUCCCCACAGCUAAAGAGGGGCUCAGCAUAAGCCUUCUCCAGGAGGCUGUGGCUGAGACAACAGUCCCUGAGGCACCUGCAGCCCUGGGAAAGAAAGAAGAAGACAAUCUCAAGAUGAAUGAGUUGUCUGGACAAUAGCCACGUGGAGUGCAGUCAGCAGAACUGAACAGUAAUGGGGGAAAAAACAGAGUGAUUCCAGCAGUGGGAGACCACGACCACCGACUCUUUGGCCACCUCUUCAACCCACACCCCAGACUCAAGUAGAAGCAAGAACUGCACAUGUGGAUUAGCAAAAGGUAUAACUAGCAAACAGGAGUUUGAGUAUUAAGUAAUGAAAAAGUUAUGCAACAUGUAACCAGUGAGUGCUAAUGCCUUUGUUUGAUAAAGUGUAUAAAUAGUGUAAAAUUUUGGUGAUUGGGGAGCCAGCUCUUUGUGGGUAACCUGGCUCCCUACUUUGUGCAAUAUAGAAUGAAAAACAGAAAUGUCUUGUCUCAGUGUGUGAAUUGGUGCUGCCCACCAGGUAACAAGCUGGUUCAUCUUGUUACCCAGGAGAACAGCACUACCUGAAUAACUGAAUCAUUUCACUUUGAGGAGCUGAUUGCUUUUAACAUAGUCUUCAAAAGCUAAAAAUCUUCUCUACUCUUCAGCCAGGCUCUUCUCU